rnacentral:rRNA from 1 species
CCUUAGGGAGCGAAGCAAUUGGAAGUGGUUCCAAGAAAAGCCUCUAAGCUUCAGUCUAACGAUGACCGUACCGCAAACCGACACAGGUGGGCGAGAUGAGUAUUCUAAGGCGCUUGAGAGAACUCGGGAGAAGGAACUCGGCAAAUUGGUACCGUAACUUCGGGAUAAGGUACGCCCUUGUAGCUUGACUGGCCUGCGCCAGGAGGGUGAAGGGGUUGCAAUAAACUGGUGGCUGCGACUGUUUAAUAAAAACACAGCACUCUGCAAACACGAAAGUGGACGUAUAGGGUGUGACGCCUGCCCGGUGCCGGAAGAUUAAAUGAUGGGGUGCAAGCUCUUGAUUGAAGUCCCGGUAAACGGCGGCCGUAACUAUAACGGUCCUAAGGUAGCGAAAUUCCUUGUCGGGUAAGUUCCGACCUGCACGAAUGGCGUAACGAUGGCCACACUGUCUCCUCCCGAGACUCAGCGAAGUUGAAGUGUUUGUGAUGAUGCAAUCUACCCGCGGCUAGACGGAAAGACCCCAUGAACCUUUACUGUAGCUUUGCAUUGGACUUUGAACCGAUCUGUGUAGGAUAGGUGGGAGGCUAUGAAACCGGAACGCUAGUUUCGGUGGAGCCGUCCUUGAAAUACCACCCUGGUUUGUUUGAGGUUCUAACCUUGGCCCGUGAUCCGGGUCGGGGACAGUGCAUGGUAGGCAGUUUGACUGGGGCGGUCUCCUCCCAAAGCGUAACGGAGGAGUACGAAGGUACGCUAGGUACGGUCGGAAAUCGUGCUGAUAGUGCAAUGGCAUAAGCGUGCUUAACUGCGAGACCGACAAGUCGAGCAGGUGCGAAAGCAGGUCAUAGUGAUCCGGUGGUUCUGUAUGGAAGGGCCAUCGCUCAACGGAUAAAAGGUACUCUGGGGAUAACAGGCUGAUACCGCCCAAGAGUUCAUAUCGACGGCGGUGUUUGGCACCUCGAUGUCGGCUCAUCUCAUCCUGGGGCUGUAGCCGGUCCCAAGGGUAUGGCUGUUCGCCAUUUAAAGAGGUACGUGAGCUGGGUUUAAAACGUCGUGAGACAGUUUGGUCCCUAUCUGCCGUGGGCGUUGGAUAUUUGAAGGGGGCUGCUCCUAGUACGAGAGGACCGGAGUGGACGAACCUCUGGUGUACCGGUUGUCACGCCAGUGGCAUCGCCGGGUAGCUAUGUUCGGAAGAGAUAACCGCUGAAAGCAUCUAAGCGGGAAACUCGCCUUAAGAUGAGAUAUCCCUGGGGACUAGAUCCCCUUGAAGGGUCGUUCGAGACCAGGACGUUGAUAGGUCAGGUGUGUAAGCGCAGUAAUGCGUUCAGCUAACUGAUACUAAUUGCCCGUAAGGCUUGAUCC